rnacentral:rRNA from 1 species
CGGGGGGAUGCUAUACAUGCAAGUCGAGCGGACUUGAAGAGAAGCUUGCUUCUCGGAUGGUUAGCGGCGGACGGGUGAGUAACACGUAGGCAACCUGCCCUCAAGCUUGGGACAACUACCGGAAACGGUAGCUAAUACCGAAUACUUGUUUUCUUCGCCUGAAGAGAACUGGAAAGACGGAGCAAUCUGUCACUUGGGGAUGGGCCUGCGGCGCAUUAGCUAGUUGGUGAGGUAACGGCUCACCAAGGCGACGAUGCGUAGCCGACCUGAGAGGGUGAUCGGCCACACUGGGACUGAGACACGGCCCAGACUCCUACGGGAGGCAGCAGUAGGGAAUCUUCCGCAAUGGGCGAAAGCCUGACGGAGCAAUGCCGCGUGAGUGAUGAAGGUUUUCGGAUCGUAAAGCUCUGUUGCCAGGGAAGAACGCUUGGGAGAGUAACUGCUCUCAAGGUGACGGUACCUGAGAAGAAAGCCCCGGCUAACUACGUGCCAGCAGCCGCGGUAAUACGUAGGGGGCAAGCGUUGUCCGGAAUUAUUGGGCGUAAAGCGCGCGCAGGCGGUCAUGUAAGUCUGGUGUUUAAUCCCGGGGCUCAACCCCGGAUCGCACUGGAAAACUGCGUGACUUGAGUGCAGAAGAGGAGAGUGGAAUUCCACGUGUAGCGGUGAAAUGCGUAGAGAUGUGGAGGAACACCAGUGGCGAAGCGACUCUCUGGGCUGUAACUGACGCUGAGCGCCGAAGCGUUGGGGGAGCAAACAGGAUUAGAAUACCCUGGUAGUCCACGCCGUAAACGAUGAAUGCUAAGGUGUUUAAGGGGUUUCGAAUACCCUUGGGUGGCGAAGUUAACCACAUUUAAGCACUCCCGCCCUGGGGAGUACCGGUCGCAGACUGAAACCUCAAGGAAAUUGACGGGACCCGCACAAGCAGUGGGAGUAUUGUGGUUAAUUCGAAGCACCGCGAGGACCUUACCAGGUCUGGACAAUCUCCUUAUCGAGGCGAGAUGUGCUCAAGUUGCCCUUCGGGAAGUGGAAACCGGUGUGCAUAGUUUCUCCACCUUCUUGUCCUGGAAGUGGGUAAUCCGCACAGGCCACUUAUAUAUAUGUGGCAGCACCUCAUGGACCUAUAUAGACAUGCGCGUGGCAG